rnacentral:lncRNA from 1 species
CUGGCUUUGUAGAUCAUCCUCAGAAACUGACGGUCAGGCCUCCUGUAUGACACCAGGGAGCUGAGGCUUUAUGGAUCGGAUCACUGCACCCAAUGAGACACACCUGCUGCCUGUCGAACCAACCCUCUUUCUAGCUCCUCCAUAAUUCCUUUUUUUCCUGCACGUGAUUACAGUGAGAUGCUAGAUCCCUCAUUCAGCUACCUGCUGCCUGUUGACCAGCUCCUCUUCCUCUCCCCCCGCCCUGGUUCUUCUUCCAAGCUAUUAGGUGAAAGCAAAAGUAAUUGCGGUUUUUGCAUUGUUGAAAUUUGCCAUUUGAUAUUGGGAUACAUUUUUAAAUAAA